ensembl:lncRNA
UGCCAUGGAAACAGGGCUACCGACAACACUGGCAAGCUGCAAGCUCCGUUUCUUGCUGCUGUUUUCACUGCUUUCGCGAAAUACACAUCGUGGACCAAAGAGGAAACUGACGACACACAGACAGACAAGACAGAGAAGGUUACUUCUGGUAUGAAACAAGGUUUCAGCUUUGAAAUUUUGUCUUUUUUUUUUUUUUUUUUAAGAAAUUCAAACAAUAAAUACUGUUUUGUGCUGUUUUAAUGUGUUGUG